GUUGCAGAAGCAGUAUGAAAAGAAGCAUUCUGCAUCUAAGAUCCUCGAUCACCUACAAGAGUUGUAUGGUAAACAUAGCCGAAAUGCAAGAUAUGAGAUAUCUGAGUAAUUAUUUUGGAUGAGGAUGACUAAGGGACAGGAAGUGGGAGCCCAUGUUCAUAAGAUGAUCAGAUUGAUAAAGCAGUUGGAAGCUCUUGAUUUCACUAUGGACUUCCA
rnacentral:misc_RNA from 1 species